AUAAGAGAACAGCCGGGACUCUUUUCCGUCACCUCGAUUCUGCUUUCUCUGCUUGCCUCUGACUGAAUUAUUCUUAGGGUUCUGUUCUACUUCUUGCCAAGCUACUAGUGGAGUUCCUACAUCUGAUAGAUUACUAUGGAGCUCCUCAGUAUCAGAAUUUCUCGGCCCAUCUCCAAGAUCAAGAAUUUGAAGAUAUGAAGAAUCAUCUUUGAGACAAUGUAGAGUGAGUUGAAGUUUAAAGAACAAGUUGAAGUAGAAGAAGAAUCUACAUUAUUUUGCUAGCAGUUGUUUAAAGAUGUUAUCAUUUGUACAUGCAACAAUUUCGUUUUUUUUUUCUCUAGGAGUAGGAAAAGAAUAAUAUCAUACAAUUAGGAUACGUAUACUUUUUGUAAUGCGACUCUUUAGUUCUUUGUAAUUAAAGAAUUAUGUUUUAUA